rnacentral:rRNA from 1 species
UACAGAGGUCCCGAGCGUUGUUCGGAUUCACUGGGCGUAAAGGGUGCGUAGGUGGCUAUGAAAGUUCGAUGUGAAAUCUCCGGGCUUAACCCGGAAAAGGCAUUGAAAACUAUGUUGCUUGAGGUUUGGAGGGGGGACUGGAAUUCUUGGUGUAGCAGUGAAAUGCGUAGAUAUCAAGAGGAACACCAGUGGCGAAGGCGGGUCCCUGGACAACACCUGACACUGAGGCACGAAAGCUAGGGGAGCAAACAGG